rnacentral:pre_miRNA from 1 species
CAACUACUCCCUCUGUCCCAAAUUUCUUGUCUUAGAUUUGUGUAGAUACGGAUGUAUCUAAUACUAAAAUGUGACUUGAUACAUCCGUAUCUAGACAAAUCUAAGACAAGAAUUUUGGGACGGAGGGAGUAAUUU